rnacentral:tRNA from 1 species
GGGAAUGUGGCUUAGUGGUAGAGUGCUUGCCUAGCAUGCAUGAGAAGUCCUGGGUUCAAUUCCUCAGUACCA